UCUAAAUAACCGGGCCUUCAUUUGUAUCGGGACGAGAUUCUCCUCUUGUUCCUGACAUGCUUAAUUUCGGUUGUCUGAAGGAGCUACUUCCUGUCGUUAUAAGCUUAUACCAAAAGAAAAGAUAUGCGAAUAUGAAACUUUUAUUUAAGGCAAAGUUAUCGCUAAUACAUUCGUAGAUUUUUUGAAUUCUAUGGUCGCGGAAGGUCUGCUCCUCCGAGCUCUUUUAGAUAGUAUGUUCCAGGCCGGACUACCUCCUUGACUUCAUAUGGGCCUUCCCAAUUCGGGGCAAGCUUUCCUUGGUUCUGAGGUUGUGAAACAGCGGCUCGCCGAAGUACUAAGUCCCCCGCUCUGAAGGCUUUGCUCUUGACCCGGG
rnacentral:lncRNA from 1 species